AACGUAGGAGACGAACGUUGUCCGGAGUUACUGGGCGUAAAGGGCGUGUAGGCGGUUUGUUAAGUCUGGCGUGAAAGCUCUCGGCUAAACCGGGAGAGGUCGUUGGAUACUGGCGAACUUGAGGAUGGUAGAGGCGUGUGGAAUUCCGGGUGUAGUGGUGAAAUGCUUAGAUAUCAAGAGGAACACCUGCGGCGAAGGCGGGUUGCUGGGCCGACACUGACGCUGAGGCGCGAAAGCUAGGGGAGCGAACGGG
rnacentral:rRNA from 1 species